rnacentral:rRNA from 1 species
UACAGAGGGGGCGAGCGUUGUUCGGAAUUACUGGGCGUAAAGCGUACGUAGGCGGCUUUGUAAGUUAGAGGUGAAAGCCCGGGGCUCAACUCCGGAAUUGCCUUUAAGACUGCAUCGCUUGAAUCAUGGAGAGGUGAGUGGAAUUCCGAGUGUAGAGGUGAAAUUCGUAGAUAUUCGGAAGAACACCAGUGGCGAAGGCGACUCACUGGACAUGUAUUGACGCUGAGGUACGAAAGCGUGGGGAGCAAACAGG